CCGCCCUGGGUGGCUCGCGCUCCCUUCCUGCGUCCUCCAUCGGUUCUCUCGUGAGUCCGUGGUCUCCUGUUCAGUUACCAGCCUUGCUUUCCCAGCUUGCGACUCGCGUCCUGGGCACGAAGAGACUGGACUCCGAUUCGUCGCCUGAGCCUGUCCUCUGAGAAGUUCAAGGUACUUUGCACAAUUUCAGCCACCCAGGCCAGUGUCCUCCAGCAAUGGCUCCCAUCCAGAAGAAGCUGGUAAUUGUCGGUGACGGAGUCUGUGGCAAGACGUGCUUGCUCAUUGUCUUCAGCAAGGAGCAGUUCCCAGAGGGGUACGCACCCUCAGGGUUUCAGAACUAUGUGUCCCGUAUCGAGGUGGAUGGGAAACGGGUAGAGCUGACUUUGUGGGACACAGCCAGGCAGAAAGAUGAUGAUCACCUGAGGUCCCUCUUUCAGUCAGACACUGGUGUUAUACUUACAUGUUUCUUCAUUGGCAACCCUGAUAGUUUAGAAAACAUCCCAGAGAAAUGGACACCAAAAGUCAAGCAUUUCUGUCCCAAUGUGCCCAUCAUCCUGGUGGGGACCAAGAACGAUCUUAGGAAUGAUGUGCACACAAGAUAGGAGCUAGCCAAGAGGAAGCAGAAGCGGGUGAGACGCGAAGAGGGCAGAGAUAUGGUCAAGGGGACUGGCGCUUUGGGGUACAUGGAGUGUUCAGCAAAGACCAAAGAUGGAGUGAGAGAGGUUUUUGAAGUGGCUGCGAAAGCUGCUCUGCAAGCCAGAGGUGGGAAGAAAAACUCUGGGUGACUUGUCUUGUGAAACCUUGCUGCAGGCACAGCGCUUAAGAGGUGAAUUUUGAAGUGCUGUUGAUUAAUCUUAGUGGAUGAACACUGGCUUUUUUCAUUUAUAUGCAGUUUACCUAAGAUUACAAAUUUAAGGCACGUCAUCUUGUUACCAGUAUUUAGAAACCAACCCUGAUUCUUAAUGAUGUUAAACCUGUCAGGCCUACCAGGAUCCUUUUGCCACUACUCUAACAACCCUCCUCUACACUUCUGCCUGACACACCAUGGCAAAUUCAAAGAAUUUCUUAACUUCUUGCUUCUGUCUAGAAAGAGGAACAGUUGGUAACUUUGCAAAUUAGGCUGCAGCUACUUUAUAACUAACCUUCCCUGCCUAUCAUCUGUCAACAGCAAGGUACUCUCAUGAGACACAACUUCAGUGCUUUACUCUUUAACAGGUUUCAUUGGCAUAGCUCUGGCGUGGGUAUCUGGUUUUUUGAAAAUGGAUUCUACAAGAAAGGCCCAAGGCCAUACACCUGUGGCACAGUUACAGUUCUGUGGUUUCAUGUUGGUUACCUUAGAGUUACUGUGUAAUUAGUGCCACUUAAUGUAUGUUACCAAAAUGACUAUAUCUACCCCAGACUACAUGUUGUAUUUUUUUAUAAUUGAAUUUCCUAGUAUUGACAUUUGUUAUCCCCAAAG